rnacentral:rRNA from 1 species
UACGGAGGGGGCGAGCGUUGUCCGGAAUUACUGGGCGUAAAGAGCUCGUAGGUGGUUUGUCGCGUUGUUCGUGAAAACUCACAGCUUAUCUGUGGGCGUGCGGGCGAUACGGGCGGACUAGAGUACUGCAGGGGAGACUGGAAUUCCUGGUGUAGCGGUGGAAUGCGCAGAUAUCAGGAGGAACACCGGUGGCGAAGGCGGGUCUCUGGGCAGUAACUGACGCUGAGGAGCGAAAGCGUGGGGAGCGAACAGG